CAUACGGGCGGCUGCAGUGGGGAAUAUUGGACAAUGGGCGAAAGCCUGAUCCAGCCAUGCCGCGUGUGUGAAGAAGGCCUUCGGGUUGUAAAGCACUUUCAGUGGGGAAGAAAGCCUUGGGGCUAAUACCCUCGAGGAAGGACAUCACCCACAGAAGAAGCACCGGCUAACUCCGUGCCAGCAGCCGCGGUAAUACGGAGGGUGCGAGCGUUAAUCGGAAUUACUGGGCGUAAAGCGCGCGUAGGCGGUCUGAUAAGCCGGUUGUGAAAGCCCCGGGCUCAACCUGGGAACGGCAUCCGGAACUGUCAGGCUAGAGUGCAGGAGAGGAAGGUAGAAUUCCCGGUGUAGCAGUGAAAUGCGUAGAGAUCGGGAGGAAUACCAGUGGCGAAGGCGGCCUUCUGGACUGACACUGACGCUGAGGUGCGAAAGCGUGGGUAGCAAACAGGAUUAGAUACCCCAGUAGUC
rnacentral:rRNA from 1 species